rnacentral:ncRNA from 1 species
AAGAGUCCGGGUCUGCGGUUGCAAGUCCAGGCCAGCUAUGGGCAAAAGGAUCCACGUAAGCCGUCAGCAAAGAUCUGCGGUGAUCAUGGCAUAGCUUAGAUGUAAGUCCUCGGAAAAAUUCCGGCAAAGGCAAGUGUGGGGUCAAAGACCGGGUCAGCCGGCGCGU